rnacentral:lncRNA from 1 species
AUUGUUAGCAUGUUCUGGUUUCUCUCCCUGGGUCUCAACCUCCAGCUUCUGCCACAGCUGCAGUAAAGCAAUGCUUUCCCAGGAAGAGUAGUCUGACAUGAAUCGUGAAGGGCCUCACGCGGGACUAGAGAACACGAGUGAAGGGAGACACCAUAAUCUCCUUCUCAAGGAGAGAGCAAGAGAAACCUUGGGAGGGAUUGAGAAUUCUAGACACGUUGUAGAGUGCUUGCCUAGAAAGUAUAAGGACUCAGGUGUCAUCCCCAGCAGUGAACACACACACACACACACACACACACACACACACACACACACACACACACACAAGCACACAUAUAUUCACACAUGCUCACACACACACACACACACACAUGCACACAUAUAUUCACACAUGCUCACACACACACACACAUGCACAUACAUACACACAUGUACACAAUGCACACAAUAUGCACACACAUGCUCACACAUGUACACACAUUUGUACACCCACAUGCACACACACAAGUGUACACAUACACACACACACACCAAAACAAAAAACAGGAAGAGAGCCUUCUGGAACAACUGAAGCCUCCCGGAAGCUUGCAUUCAGCCUUGCAUAGCUAACCACACUCGUGGGUGAGCAGAUACAUAAAAGACCUGGUGUAAGAGACUCAAUGGCUAUCUUUCAGCUCUCUAGUCAUGGUGGACUGAAGACUCCCAUGGCCCCUAGGGUUUCCUGCAGCAUCUGGCUUAGGGCGCUGUGGUGUGCAAUGCCAUGCAUUGUUAGACAGCAGAGGUACCUGAUGGACACAUAGCUAACUGUGACCAAUGCUCUGAUUGUAAAGACACUUGCUAGUGCAAGAACAGACAAAGUGAAGUCUUCAGGCUGGUGCGGAGCAGACACUUCCAGGAUGUGCCUGGGAUCCGCCUUGAUGUGUCUCCUUGCCAAGAAAAGGUCACACUGAAGCCCCUUUGCCCUUUCUCUAACACAGGAAGGGGCAAGUGACAGAGCAAAGCCAGAUGCUAGACUGGGGACUUUGCCUUUAAGGUAGCAGAUCCCUUUUUGGACGUCAGUGAGGCUGACGUAUUUCUCUCCAAGUCCAGGAUCAAGGAGCCCAGUUCUGUAACAUCUGUGUGGAGAGAGCCCAGCACUGUGCCAUUCCUGACCACAGUCAGACAUCCCCUGUUGCUGCAUUGCCCUGCUGGGCUCCUGCUCACAUGAUGAUGGGGUGCUAGACUUGGGCUGCACAGCUUCCCAACUCUUAGAGUGUUGGGCAACCCCGUGAGUCUGCCAGGAACAGUGCAUAGGCGCCACAGCCGAGGGGCACCCUGCUGUGUGGUGGAGUUGGAUAUGUGGGGGUCCAGGCAGAGGGCCAGCUAUGAGUGGGCAGCCAUAGUGCCAUUGGAAUGGCAGCCUGCAUGAAGGGCCCUUCCUGCAUGGCAGCCCUCGUGGGUCGACCCAGCCUCCUCAUUGCCUACCACGGUAUGAUAGGUAUGGCAGGUUAGGCUAAAAGGAACAAGACCUUGCCCAGCCUGCUCUUUCUUUAACUGUAUUUACAUCCUUAGCACUCUCCCCUGAGCUGUUCUGUGAUCUGACCUACUUUCCUUUCCCCCAUGCUUGGGUAAUUAGCAGCUCAGGGGUCCACAGCAUUGCAGGGUAAGGAAUGCUGUGACGGCAGCUAUCAGCUUCCCCGAAACAUGAAACCAAGACAGGGAAUUUAGGUUUGUUUCUUGGAGUGUCAGAGGCACUUCAGACAUUCUUUUUAAAAAAAUGUUUGAGACGGGAUCUCAUGUAGUCCAGGCUGGUCCUUGAAUUUGAUGUGUAGGUAAAGAUAAUCUACCAUUAUCACACCCAAGUGCCGUGAUGAUUGGCACAAGCUACCUUCUGGUUUAGCUAUCAUUUUUACAAAACUACCAUCGGGGGCUGGAGAAAUGGCUCAGAGGUUAAGAGCACUGUCUGUUCUUCCAGAGGUCCUGAGUUCAAUUCCCAGCAACCACAUGGUGGUUCAUAACUAUCUAAAAUGAGAUCUGGUACCCUCUUCUGGUCUGCAGGCAUACAUGCAGGCAGAAUGCUGUAUACAUGAUAAAUGUAUAUAUCUUU